rnacentral:rRNA from 1 species
AUGGCGAGCAGGGCGGUUGACUGGAUGAGCAUUUCGCCGGCAGAGCUGCCAGCGCAAAACAUGAAGGCGAUGGCGACGUACGAGGCGCGGCCCUCGCAAGGCGCCCGUCCACCAGUUCGUCGACGACAACGCUGCCAUGAGUCUCCAGAGAUGUGGAGUCCUUCCGAUGAGAAAAGCAGCAGCAAGGUAUAUGGCAGCAGGGAUGCAGCAGCGCCGCAGUCGAAGAGGAAGCCCAUGGAUGCCGGCAGCACUCCUUUCCUGGUGGCCGCCGGUAGAUGUCGGUCUUCCAGCCCCUAG